rnacentral:rRNA from 1 species
AAUGAACGCUGGCGGCGUGCCUAACACAUGCAAGUCGGAUGUGCCCAGCAAUGGGUGCAUGGCAGACGGGUGAGUAACGCGUGGGGAACCUACCUCUUUGUGGGGAAUAACGUUCCGAAAGGAAUGGUAAUACCGCAUGAGACCAUAGGCUGGGAUGCUUAUGGUGAAACCCGGGACCGCAAGGCCUGGGGCAAGGAGAGGGUCCUGCGUCUGAUUAGCUAGUUGGUGGGGUAAUGGCCUACCAAGGCAUCGAUCAGUAGCCGGCCUGAGAGGGUGAUCGGCCACAUUGGGACUGAGACACGGCCCAGACUCCUACGGGUGGCUG